rnacentral:rRNA from 1 species
GGCCAGACUCCUACGGGAGGCAGCAGUGAGGAAUAUUGGUCAAUGGCCGAGAGGCUGAACCAGCCAAGUCGCGUGAGGGAAGAAUGUCCUAUGGAUUGUAAACCUCUUUUGUCAGGGAGCAAAGUCACCCACGUGUGGGUGUUGGAGAGUACCUGAAGAAAAAGCAUCGGCUAACUCCGUGCCAGCAGCCGCGGUAAUACGGAGGAUCCGAGCGUUAUCCGGAUUUAUUGGGUUUAAAGGGAGCGUAGGUGGAUUGUUAAGUCAGUUGUGAAAGUUUGCGGCUCAACCGUAAAAUUGCAGUUGAAACUGGCAGUCUUUAGUACAGUAGAGGUGGGCGGAAUUCGUGGUGUAGCGGUGAAAUGCUUAGAUAUCACGAAGAACUCCGAUUGCGAAGGCAGCUUACUAAACUGCCACUGACAUUGAUGCUCGAAAGUGUGGGUAUCAAACAGGAUUAGAUACCCUUGUA